rnacentral:rRNA from 1 species
UACGGAGGGGGCUAGCGUUGUUCGGAAUUACUGGGCGUAAAGCGCGUGUAGGCGGACGACUAAGUCGGGGGUGAAAUCCUGAGGCUCAACCUCAGAACUGCCUUCGAUACUGGUCGUCUGGAGGUCGAGAGAGGCGAGUGGAAUUCCGAGUGUAGAGGUGAAAUUCGUAGAUAUUCGGAGGAACACCAGCGGCGAAGGCGGCUCGCUGGCUCGCACCUGACGCUGAGACGCGAAAGCGUGGGGAGCAAACAGG